GUCUACAGUCAUGCCACCCUAAAUAUGCCCAAUCUCGUCUGAUCUCGGAAGCUAAGCAGAGUCAGGCCUGGUUAGUACUUGUAUGGGAAACCACCUACGGAAUAUCAAGUGCUGUAAAUG
rnacentral:rRNA from 1 species